CGGACGGGUGAGUAAUGCAUAGGAAUCUGCCCGGUAGUGGGGGAUAACCUGGGGAAACCCAGGCUAAUACCGCAUACGUCCUACGGGAGAAAGCAGGGGAUCUUCGGACCUUGCGCUAUCGGAUGAGCCUAUGUCGGAUUAGCUUGUUGGUGAGGUAAUGGCUCACCAAGGCGACGAUCCGUAGCUGGUCUGAGAGGAUGAUCAGCCACAUCGGGACUGAGACACGGCCCGAACUCCUACGGGAGGCAGCAGUGGGGAAUAUUGGACAAUGGGCGAAAGCCUGAUCCAGCCAUGCCGCGUGUGUGAAGAAGGCUUUCGGGUUGUAAAGCACUUUCAGUGAGGAAGAAGGCCUUGGGGCUAAUACCCCCGAGGAAGGACAUCACUCACAGAAGAAGCACCGGCUAACUCCGUGCCAGCAGCCGCGGUAAUACGGAGGGUGCGAGCGUUAAUCGGAAUUACUGGGCGUAAAGCGCGCGUAGGCGGCGUGAUAAGCCGGUUGUGAAAGCCCCGGGCUCAACCUGGGAACGGCAUCCGGAACUGUCAGGCUAGAGUGCAGGAGAGGAAGGUAGAAUUCCCGGUGUAGCGGUGAAAUGCGUAGAGAUCGGGAGGAAUACCAGUGGCGAAGGCGGCCUUCUGGACUGACACUGACGCUGAGGUGCGAAAGCGUGGGUAGCAAACAGGAUUAGAUACCCUGGUAGUCCACGCCGUAAACGAUGUCGACUAGCCGUUGGGGUCCUUGAGACCUUUGUGGCGCAGUUAACGCGAUAAGUCGACCGCCUGGGGAGUACGGCCGCAAGGUUAAAACUCAAAUGAAUUGACGGGGGCCCGCACAAGCGGUGGAGCAUGUGGUUUAAUUCGAUGCAACGCGAAGAACCUUACCUACCCUUGACAUCGUGCGAACUUGGUAGAGAUACCUUGGUGCCUUCGGGAACGCACAGACAGGUGCUGCAUGGCUGUCGUCAGCUCGUGUUGUGAAAUGUUGGGUUAAGUCCCGUAACGAGCGCAACCCUUGUCCCUAUUUGCCAGCGAUUCGGUCGGGAACUCUAGGGAGACUGCCGGUGACAAACCGGAGGAAGGUGGGGACGACGUCAAGUCAUCAUGGCCCUUACGGGUAGGGCUACACACGUGCUACAAUGGCCGGUACAAAGGGUUGCGAAGCCGCGAGGUGGAGCUAAUCCCGGAAAGCCGGUCUCAGUCCGGAUCGGAGUCUGCAACUCGACUCCGUGAAGUCGGAAUCGCUAGUAAUCGUGAAUCAGAAUGUCACGGUGAAUACGUUCCCGGGCCUUGUACACACCGCCCGUCACACCAUGGGAGUGGACUGCACCAGAAGUGGUUA
rnacentral:rRNA from 1 species